GUCGGUUGCUUGCAACUGACCCUAUACGCGAACCCCUUGAACCAACUAAAUUUUAAAUAAUUUGAAAAAAUCAUAAGGACAUAAUUACUGCCCUUGAUAUACUGAUACAAAACUGCCUAGGUUGGUGGCCACUUACAGCACUCGUUCAUAGUCAAGCAUGUAGUAAUAAACACAGUGAACGUUUAAGGAGGUUUGCUACAGUAUUUCAAGCUGAAUUCUACGCUAUAAUUAUGUGUGCACUAAAAACAGGGGUGUAAGAAACGCAAUAUUUACAUCCUUAGCCACAGCCAGGCAGCACUCAAACAAAGCCAUCGCCUCAGUGAAGGUUGAGUCUAGAAUUAGGUAUUCUAGAUGCAAUCUUAAAGAUGAACAAACUCUGGAGGCAUGACUAAGUGUCCCUAAUGUGGGAUACCUGGACAUACACGGAUCGAAUGCAAUGAGAGAGCCGACAGUCUAGCGAGACAAGGGUCAGAGACGAUACCUAUUGGGUCAGAACUGAUAGUAGUACCUUUAUCUAAAAGCUUAGGUACCUCAUGGCCACAAUAUGGCCAUAUCCAAGAAUAACAGGGCUGAAUGGGAAAGCUCCAACGAUAUAAGCCUCUCCAAAUCAUUCCUAAAGGGAAAUACAGGGUCAUGAAGAAAACUUUUUAAAGGUAUGCCCAAGCAAUUACAGGUACGCAAACUGGGCAUUAUGGAAUGAAUCACAUGUCCCACAAAAUGGGCCUAACAACAGAAGCUCUCGAGCAUGUGGAAUACAAUGUGGAGUCCAUGAAACACUUAAUACUGUAAGGAUGGAUCUGCUUGGGUCAGCAUAUCCGGCAUCAGAAGACUAUUAGGUGGCUUUCACUCAGACGCUUAAUUCACUUAUCUAAUGGAUAGGAUUUUUUGUGAU